rnacentral:rRNA from 1 species
AACGAACGCUGGCGGCAUGCCUAACACAUGUAAGUCGAACGAGACCUUCGGGUCUAGUGGCGCACGGGUGCGUAACGCGUGGGAACCUGCCCUUAGGUUCGGAAUAACUCCCCGAAGGGGGUGCUAAUACCGGAUAAUGUCUUCGGACCAAAGAUUUAUCGCCUUUGGAUGGGCCCGCGUUGGAUUAGCUAGUUGGUAGGGUAAAAGCCUACCAAGGCGACGAUCCAUAGCUGGUCUGAGAGGAUGAUCAGCCACACUGGGACUGAGACACGGCCCAGACUCCUACGGGAGGCAGCAGUGGGGAAUAUUGGACAAUGGGCGAAAGCCUGAUCCAGCAAUGCCGCGUGAGUGAUGAAGGCCUUAGGGUUGUAAAGCUCUUUUACCCGGGAUGAUAAUGACAGUACCGGGAGAAUAAGCUCCGGCUAACUCCGUG